CUACGGGUCGCUGCAGUAACGAAUAUUGUGCAAUGGGCGAAAGCCUGACACAGCGACGCCGCGUGUAGGAGGAAGUCCCUCGGGAUGUAAACUACUGUCAGGGUGAAGAAAGUCUGUUUCGGCAGAUUGAUCUAACCCGGGGGAAGUCACGGCUAACUGUCGUGCCAGCAGCCGCGGUAAGACGAAGGUGGCAAGCGUUGUUCGGUAUUACUGGGCUUAAAGCGUGUGUAGGCGGAUAAAUAAGCGUUUUGUGAAAUCCCUCAGCUCAACUGAGGAAUUGCUUGACGAACUGUUUAUCUUGAGGCAAGUAGGGGUGCACGGAACUCUUGGUGGAGCGGUGGAAUGCGUAGAUAUCAAGAGGAACGCCAGUGGUGAAGACGGUGCACUGGGCUUGUUCUGACGCUGAGACACGAAAGCGUGGGGAGCAAACAGGAUUAGAUACCCGAGUAGUC
rnacentral:rRNA from 1 species